AGCUCCAAUAGCGUAUAUUAAAGUUGUUGCAGUUAAAAAGCUCGUAGUUGGAUUUAUGUGCUAGCGAGUCGGUCGGUCGCAAGGCUUGUUUACUGAUUCGCUUGUGCUUUUUCUCCGAGACCUCUUGUACACUUUACUGGGUGCAGGUGUGUAUUGGAGACGUUUACUUUGAAAAAAUUAGAGUGUUUAAAGCAGGCGUUUGUCAUGAAUACAUUAGCAUGGAAUAAUAAUAUAGGACUUCGGUUCUAUUUUGUUGGUUUCUAGGACUCAAGUAAUGAUUGAUAGGGAUAGUUGGGGGUGCUAGUAUUCAGCGGCCAGAGGUGAAAUUCUUGGAUUCGUGGAAGACGAACUACUGCGAAAGCAUUUACCAAGGAUGUUUUCAUUAAUCAAGAACGAAAGU
rnacentral:rRNA from 1 species